rnacentral:lncRNA from 1 species
GCAAUGAACAAAGACAUUUGCAAUUGCACAAAAUUACUUUCAUGCAUAACUACAUUUGCAUGCAAUGACAUAAAUCGCUUCCGUGCAUGAGACGAAAUAGAAUUGCUUCCAUGCAUGCAAAACACAAUUCCAUACAAAACCGUAGAAUUGUUUGAGCAACCACAACAUAUAAGUAUUCCUUACGAUUAAAUUGCAUAGAUGGACGGACUUGCGUCUUUCAACGGCUUACGUGCCCAAUAGAAUUGGGAUCAAAGUCUACGUAAUUUGAGAUUGCGUACGUUUCACUAAAGUGCAUAGAUGGCUUCCGAAUAUGUUAACUCAAACUUCAAUGCUCCGUCUCGAAUGUUGAUAACCCUCUAACUCACUGAUUGACUAAACCAAGUCGUGUCCUGAAUUAUAGUAUAGUCGUGUACGAAUACACUUUCCGUAAAGAAUAUUUCUACCAUUUUCCAAAGCCUAAGGUCACAAGUAAUUUCUUCGUAGGAUAAAACUACC